rnacentral:rRNA from 1 species
UACGUAGGGGGCAAGCGUUGUCCGGAAUCAUUGGGCGUAAAGCGCGUGUAGGCGGCCCGGUAAGUCCGCUGUGAAAGUCGGGGGCUCAACCCUCGAAUGCCGGUGGAUACUGUCGGGCUAGAGUGCGGGAGAGGCGAGUGGAAUUCCUGGUGUAGCGGUGAAAUGCGCAGAUAUCAGGAGGAACACCAAUUGCGAAGGCAGCUCGCUGGAACGUAACUGACGCUGAGACGCGAAAGCGUGGGGAGCGAACGGG